CAAGUCUUCAACAUUUCCCUGUUAUGCAAUUGUAGAAGCCUCAUUAGAGCUUGCUGUUAUUACAAAAACUCUUAUUUUAUAUAAAGACAGCCUCUUUUCUCAGCAUUGGAUGAACUAUUUCCAUGCAAUUCCAGACAUGACCAUGCAGGAACAGAAAGAGACAAAAAUCCUAAUACCCAUCGGAGACCGGCCUCCCAGGACCUGGCGGGAUCUGGAGACAUCCUGUAGUUGUCCACAGAAAACAUUAGUAUGAAAUUUGAUGAACUCCAUCAGUUGAAGGCCAAUAAUUGGAAACAGCUGGAUCCUCUUGACAAGAAGGCAGAACAGUGUAGAUUUUGUA
rnacentral:lncRNA from 1 species